CCUACGGGAGGCAGCAGUGGGGAAUUUUGGACAAUGGGCGCAAGCCUGAUCCAGCAAUGCCGCGUGCAGGAUGAAGGCCUUCGGGUUGUAAACUGCUUUUGUACGGAACGAAACGGUGAGCUCUAAUACAGUUUGCUAAUGACGGUACCGUAAGAAUAAGCACCGGCUAACUACGUGCCAGCAGCCGCGGUAAUACGUAGGGUGCGAGCGUUAAUCGGAAUUACUGGGCGUAAAGCGUGCGCAGGCGGUGAUGUAAGACAGAUGUGAAAUGCCCGGGCUCAACCUGGGACCUGCAUUUGUGACUGCAUCGCUAGAGUACGGUAGAGGGGGAUGGAAUUCCGCGUGUAGCAGUGAAAUGCGUAGAUAUGCGGAGGAACACCGAUGGCGAAGGCAAUCCCCUGGACCUGUACUGACGCUCAUGCACGAAAGCGUGGGGAGCAAACAGGAUUAGAUACCCUGGUAGUCCACGCCCUAAACGAUGUCAACUGGUUGUUGGGUCUUCACUGACUCAGUAACGAAGCUAACGCGUGAAGUUGACCGCCUGGGGAGUACGGCCGCGAAGGUUGAAACGUCAAAGGAUUGACGGCGNGAGAGNGCGAGGCGACGACGAGGGAGGAGG
rnacentral:rRNA from 1 species